rnacentral:misc_RNA from 1 species
ACCUCAAACCCCUACUUAAAAUAAAUUUUAAAAAAUGCAACAGACUUCAGUACAACUUUCAGAAGUAACAUUUCUUAAAAUCUGGAAAGAAUUCAAUUGUAGACGCUUUAGUCACUAUUCAAAAUUGACAUGUAAGUUGCAAUUUGCAACAGCACUCUUAUCAACUUCGCACCUAAAUACAAGCACUGCCAAAACCGCAACUAUUUCAGCUCACACCUUUGACAGACUGCCUGGUAUGUGCGUCUUGAAGUAUCUUGUUAUUUUGCUUUCUUAUAAUGAACUCUUAGCACACCUCCUCUUCCAAUCCCCCACACACCCGCACAAAAAAAAAUACUAAUAAAAAAAUCAUCUGAAUUUCAGUGAAGCAUGACCUGUGUCGCUCAAAUGCUUAUGUAAUUUAUUCCUUGAUUCAAAUUCCUCUCCACAUUUCUCACAUGCAUUGCCAGAAUUAUUUGCUGCUGCCUUUCCUUUCUUUCCUUUGGACAAGUUUUUCGUUUUGUUAUUUGAUUCCUUCUUUGUGGCCCCUUUAUUGUUGACAGGAUGAUAUGAAUUCUUAUGAUUCUUCCUCGCAUUAUCGUUGUCGUUACCAGCAUUCUCAUCUUCUACAAAUAAAUGAGAAGGGGACUCCUUCGUUUGCCUGUCAUCAUGCCCAUUAAUUUCACCAUCUGGACUUCUUUCCUCAAAAUCACCCUUCUCAGAAACUCCGUAGUCAUUCUUACCCCUCUCUUUCUUGCCUCUCCUCCUCCUACUUUUCAGGUUGUUAUAUUCCAUAACUUCCAACUCAUUCACAUCUUCGGCACGAAUUUCCAUUGGAAAAUUCUCACUCACAUGCCUUGAACCCCGACUUUUCCUACUCUUGUGCCCAGUUACCAUUGCUUCAAGUACACUCAUUUCCCCAUCACCAUCCUCAACCUCAUCAUCAUCAACNNNNNNNNNNGACAUAUCAAAUCCUUCCACCUCAUCACCGUCCCCAACAUCAAAGAACCCAUCUUCCUCAUCUCUCAAUUCUGCAUUCUCAACCCCAUUCUCUUCCUCCCUUAUCCUGAAACCCUCUCUAAACCUCGCAUCUACCUCAUCAACAUUGUUAACCAUUUCUUCAUUGUUUCCCAUUUCUUCAUUGUUUCCCUGUUCAUCCUCCUCAAAAUCUUCUAGUGUCUCUUCUUCAUCAUCCCCAAAUGACUCCCUGAACUCAGCCACCUUCUCCUUAUGCUUCUUCGAUUGCUCAUGAUUCUUCCAUUGCUUCUCACUCUUAAACUUUUUUCCACACACCACGCAAUACAACUCUUUCC